rnacentral:rRNA from 1 species
GACGAACGCUGGCGGCGUGCUUAACACAUGCAAGUCGAACGGAAAGGCCCUGCUUUUGUGGGGUGCUCGAGUGGCGAACGGGUGAGUAACACGUGAGUAACCUGCCCUUGACUUUGGGAUAACUUCAGGAAACUGGGGCUAAUACCGGAUAGGAGCUCCUGCUGCAUGGUGGGGGUUGGAAAGUUUCGGCGGUUGGGGAUGGACUCGCGGCUUAUCAGCUUGUUGGUGGGGUAGUGGCUUACCAAGGCUUUGACGGGUAGCCGGCCUGAGAGGGUGACCGGCGAACGUGGGACUGAGAUGAGGCGGAGACGCGGACGAGAGGCAGGAGGGGGGAAGCGGGAGCGAGAGUGGGAGGCGAGACACAGCGACGCUGCGGGGGGGAGGGCGGCAUUCGGGGAGUAAAAGCACUGCGCCUGAGAGGAAGAGGUUGGGAGGGGAAAGGGGAAAGAAGCAACGGAUAACUACGUG